ACAAGACAGUGUGAGAGAGCUUCAGCACACCGCCCUAUGGAAAAAGUUCCAGCUCCUUGUGCUCAAGUGCUGGCCAGAGAAACAAAGUAGCCAACGUGAAAAUGCCUCGGAAAUGAAGACGGUACCUAUUCAGAAGCCUUGGAGAGGUCACAGUGACCAUUCUAAGAAACUUGUACAACAUUUUGCUAUUUAAAAGUGAAUUCAUUUAUACUUAUCAUAUUAGAUAUUCAACAUAACCGUGAGGAUGUUAAACUAUUCCAUGUUUGAGAGGAGGAAAGUAAGAAUCAGGGAGGGGAAACAUGGCCAGACCCACUCAGUGGGAAAGUGGGGGGACAGCGGCCUUCGAUUCACCUCCAAUCCUUGCUUUUCUCCCCACUCUUCCCUGUGUCCUUGGUGAGAGCCACCUGCGGCCGGCCCACAAGCUCUGGCUGAGCGCGGGUUGCAGAAUGCCACCAUCAGGGCCCACAUAACCGAUGCCACCAGAUACAGUUCACAGUUGGAGUGCUCGUGCCCUGGACUCCAUCCUCUGGCUUAAAAGGUAGCCCAACAAGGAAUAUCAGGUGACAAGCCGCCUGUCUGAUGGCGCCUGCUGGGGCCUGGGGGCUGGGAGCCAGGCCGGAGCCCGCUUACCCCCUGAAGGAACCACACGGAUAACCGCAAGAGGAGCAGCAGAUGUAGAGGGAGAGGGUAACAGUCCCCUUGGGAACCUCUCAGGAGCUGCAUGCCCUCUAGACUCAGCGUGCUGGCCACGGGCUGUGUGCCGAUGUUUCACAGACGGCGUCUCAUGAAUCCACGUGCUGAUCCAGCAGCGUUCGUUCCUAUGAUGUCCAUUUUACAGAUGGGAAAACUGAGCAGGGCGGGGUGGGAGUGGACGUUUGCCCAGAGCCACCCAGUGUAUCUCUGUGGGCCAUUUCUUGGGGCGCCCUCUCCCUCCAGGCACACUCUGGGUUUAAUGGGAGCCCCAAGUGCCUCAUCCCAGGGCAGUGAGUGACUGAUGGCGGAAUGCUCCUAUGGCAGCAUGGAGAUAUUAUGGGAUGAGGAGAGCUGCUUCUUCAGCCUCUGGAACCACCCCUGCAGAUGGCCAUCUCAGACCAAGCCCAAGGCUGCCCUCCCCAAUCCUUCCAGAGACCCUUUAAGUGAAGGAGGAGGUGCUUUUUGGAUCUCUAAGCCCUUCUGAAGAUGUGAAAAUGGGGCCAGGUCAGCCACAUGAAGCGCUGGCUACAAUGUGUAAACACACCUCAGGGCCAUGCUAAUCUCCCAGGUCAGCCCCGGUGCCA